CCCUUAGAUGUUCUGGGCCGCACGCGCGCUACACUGAUACAUUCAACGAGUCUAAAACCUGCUCUGAUAGGGGUGGGUAAUCUUUUGAAUGUGCAUCGUGAUUGGGAUAGAUGAUUGAAAUUUUUCAUCUUCAACGAGGAAUGCCUAGUAAACGCAAGUCAUCAGCUUGCAUUGAUUACGUCCCUGCCCUUUGUACACACCGCCCGUCGCUCCUACCGAUUGAAUGAUCCGAUGAAUAUCAUGGAUUGAGGAUGCAAGUAGGUUCACCUAUCUUCAUCUUCGAGAAGUGAAGUAAAUCUUAUCAUUUAGAGGAAGGAGAAGUCGUAACA
rnacentral:rRNA from 1 species